rnacentral:lncRNA from 1 species
ACCGUAAUCACCUCUCGUUCACACCUCUUCACUGCCUUCUUCUUCUUUCGCCGGAGCUAGCCGGAGAAGACAACCGGAAUAACGCCAUCCGUUUCGAAGCACCAUAAACCCACCGAACGGCCACCGUUCUCUACUUUGCUUUCCUGUUUUAAACCGUCGCCGGGAACACCUCCUCGCCGGAACUCCGCCGCCGGAGCACCUCCGCGUCACCACCAUUCGCCGCCGUCGAACCGCCGGGUAAAUCUCUUGUGCAACGACACUUGGAACAAUCCUCAUACUCUCUUUCCAAGAAAUACGCAACGCACUCCAAGGGAUCGAAACGGAGACCUCUCGGAUAACAAACGACUCACUAACCACUCGGCCGGGAAUGCCACAUCCAAUUGAUUUAGGAAACUAAUUACACUUAUGCGCUAAUUUCGUUCAAACCUGAUUUCAAAUUAUUAACCGCCAAACCUGCAAAACCGUGUAUAUGGAAACUUACAGCCAACCUUCCUUUCUGUCAAAGAUCGAAACUUCCGGCCAUCAUCGUUAAAUCAUGCCAUUUUAACCACCUUUCCUUUUAUCAACCAUCUUCGAUCCCCUAUAAGUACCCGACUCCUUCACUGCCGACUUCACACCCACCGUAAUCACCUCUCGUUCACACCUCUUCACUGCCUUCUUCUUCUUUCGCCGGAGCUAGCCGGAGAAGACAACCGGAAUAACGCCAUCCGUUUCGAAGCACCAUAAACCCACCGAACGGCCACCGUUCUCUACUUUGCUUUCCUGUUUUAAACCGUCGCCGGGAACACCUCCUCGCCGGAACUCCGCCGCCGGAGCACCUCCGCGUCACCACCAUUCGCCGCCGUCGAACCGCCGUAUGGAGGUAAAUCUCUUGUGCAACGACACUUGGAACAAUCCUCAUACUCUCUUUCCAAGAAAUACGCAACGCACUCCAAGGUUGAAAGUACAAGAUUCAAGAAUCAAGUUAGGAUGAACACUAGAAACCCACAUAACAUUUGAAUUAUUGUUGAACAAUAUGUUGUAUUGUUUGGAACUAUGUAUUUCACUUUAGAGUUUAUGAAAUGAAUUA